rnacentral:tmRNA from 1 species
GGGCUUGGCAAAAGCCGGCGAUAAUCCCAUAUAGAGGGUGUCGUAAGGGGCUUGCCCCGGAGACUAUGGUGAUAAAGUGCUGUGCAUAAUAGACGCAACGGACCCGGGGGCAGUACCCGGCGGCUCCACCAAAACCCGUUCUUUGAGGACAGGUUCUGACGGGGCCGAAGCAGGAUCGACGUGUGUUCAAAGGCGCAGUUUUUGCCCCGGCUGAGUAACCGGUUAUAGGCUCAAAACCACAAGUGCUAACGAUAACGAAGCGCUCGCGAUUGCCGCGUAAAUUGGUCUUAACGGACUAAUUUACUAAGACAAAAGCGCGGUUGGACCGCACCGGGCAACAGAAGCGGAUUCCG